GUCUAGUAAAAGGUUCCUGAUGGGAUCCUUUUUUGUUUAACAAAGGAGAGGCCCUGUAACCGAAAGGUGGAAAGUUUAUUAUG
rfam:Lactobacillus ginsenosidimutans strain EMML 3041, complete genome.